GCGCAUCUGUGCAUGCAGCAUAUCAAUAAGCGGAGGAAAAGAAACUAACAAGGAUUCCCCUAGUAACGGCGAGUGAAGCGGGAAGAGCCUCAAAUUUGAAAUCUUAAAGGGUUUCCCUUUACGAAUUGUAGUUUAAAGAAGUGUUUUCUGUUGAGGUUUUGGUAAGAGUUCUUUGGAAUAGGACAUCAUAGAGGGUGAGAAUCCCGUAUUUGACCUUUACUUUCAACUUUGUGAUACACUUUCAAAGAGUCGGAUUGUUUGGGAAUGCAGUCCAAAAUGGGUGGUAAAUUUCAUCUAAAGCUAAAUAUUGGCGAGAGACCGAUAGCGAACAAGUACCGUGAGGGAAAGAUGAAAAGAACUUUGAAAAGAGAGUUAAACAGUACGUGAAAUUGUCAAAAGGGAAGCGUUUGACACCAGUGUUGUUUUUCUGAAAAUCAAUUAAAGAACUGUUUAUGCUAAGUUGUUUAGACUUUAUCAGCUAUCUGUUUAGUUUUGAGCUUUUCUUUAAUGCACUUUUCAGUUAACAAGUCAACAUCAAUUUCUUUUGCUGUAAAAAAGCUUGAGGAAGGUGGCUUGAGAUUCGUCUUAAGUGUUUAUAGCCUCUUGCCUAUGCAGUCGGAGAGAUUGAGGUCUGCAGCGUAGAUCCUUCGGGGCUAAAUGCAUUUGUGCUAAGUUAUAACAUUUUAUAGACAACUUGUUGACUAUGAUUUGUCUUGUAGCUUACUCGCUUAUGUUAUUUUACCUACGCUUAGGAUGUUGACAGCAGUAUAGACUGU
rnacentral:rRNA from 1 species